rnacentral:lncRNA from 1 species
GCUCAAAAUACCCUUAAGUUAAACUUGGUCAACCCUAGUCCAAGUCAAAGUCAACGGUUAAAGUCCAAAAGACAAUAUCCCUUCCCAACGGAGUACGCCCUGCGCACUAAGAGAGUACGUCCAGUGGGCUCGUCCCCAUGGUCUUUCCUAUCAAAGACCAUGGGAGAGCCCAUGACACGUAGGUGUAAGACCAUGAGGGGAGCCCAUGGCAUCCUGGAGUAAGACCUUGGGGACGAGCCCACAGCAUCCCUAUCUAUUGUAUGCAUAGUUUAUGUGAUAUGUGUAGCUGUUAUAGCUAUUAUGAUAUGUUGUAUGUGGUUUGUGUGUGGUAUGCUCUGAGGAACUCACUAAGCAUUAGCUUACAGUUUGUGGAUUUGUAUCAGGUACAUCUGAGCCCAAGGGCAAGGGCAAGGCUUGAUAGCGUGACAUGCACUCUCACUCGGACAUUUUAUGGAACACUCUGAUAUUUUGAAAUAAAGUUGUAUUUGACAUGGUUUUGAAAACAAUUGUAACUGGUUUUUGUGGAUGGUGAACAUGUAUUUUGGAUAAUUAAAAAUGAAUUUUUUUUUUGAAAAUUGGGUUGUUACAGUGUCCCUAUGGAUUCGCCCGAGUCUCCUUAUGCCACCCAUGAGUGCAACCAAACAGUGAUAAUAUAUUUGUUUAAAAUGUCUAUGACAACGUCUUAAUAAUCCACGUGUACUUACAUGACUAGUAAGUGAAAACUAACUUCUGCUUUGGCCUCUGGCUUCGUGCUGCCUCUUAACUUAUCAGUGUGCCAAAUCCUACUGCAUUAAAACAACAAAUUUAUCAAAUCUUGUCUCAAUUUUACUAGGAGCUUACUUAUUAUGUCUAACCAUAGUGAUCAUUUCCUUGACCAAUAAUUAAACCAGGGGCAGAACACGACAAGUAAAAGUAGGGGGGCCGAAACCAAAAGUCUAAAAGAAAUCCAAACAUAUAUAUUUAUUAUGGUCAAUUAUAAUAAAAGAUAUUAGUCUCUUUAUCAACUAUAGAACAUAUCAAUAAGGUAUAAUAAGAAUUCCUUUGCUUUAGAUUAUUUUUAUUAAUAAGAAAAUCUGUACAAUUCUAGAAUGUAAAUCAAAUGGUGAUUUAAACAUAAAAUAUUAUAUUAUAUCACGAAAAGCUUUUAUUUGACAACACAUUGAAUAGGAAAAAAAACAAAGCUGACAAAAACUUAAAGGCUAUAAGCUUCUCUUAUUUACCACACAUUUAAUAAGAAAAACAAGCUAAGACUUUUUGUUCACAGUUUCAGAAGCUAUACUUUUAAAUCAACAUACGAGGAGACCUUGGAAACGAGAUGAGCAAGAGACGGUUUCGGUCAAACAUAGAGGCGACGAAGAGCUCGAGUUUCCGGCAUUGUCCGGCGUCAACUUUUAAGCGGCAACCAAAGACAAGAGAGACAAGGUUAGGGUUUUUUAGAUUUUACUCUUUAGGUUUCUUUGAUCUACUUUUUAUGGGUUUAUAAAAGUCUUAAUUGAGGUUGAUUAUUGGGCUUUUAUAAGUUUAUCUAUUAAAAUUUAAAAGACUUUAUUUAUUUGAUAUUUUUAUUGAGUCCUGAUUUCUCGAAUAUCAUUUAAAUUUUGAUAUGAAAUGUUUUAAUACCUUAGUAACUUACCUUUUUCUCAAUUUUGAAAUCGUCGGUUGGUUCUUUUUUGGUUAGCAUAAUCCACACCCCAUUUCAAACACAUCAUCAAGAACCAAACUCAUCAAGAUUAAGUUACUGGGCAAAAAAACAGGGUGGCCAUGGCCUCUCCUGGCCCCUUAAAGGACCCGCCCCUGAAUUAAACUUGGUAAUUGUUUGUCACCAAUCCAGUUAAUCUCCAUAAUACAACUGCUAAAUAACUUAAUUCAUUAAGCCAUUAUCUUAAUCUCACAUUUCUAGUAAUUCCAUAAAUUUGGCUUUAUAACCCAUUAACGAAUUCAAGAAUUCCACCAUGGAAUUCAACCCGUUGAGCUUACCAUUAUGUUCACAAGAGCACCAUAUUAAGAACUCUAGUAACUAACUCAGAUUCUAACAACCCUUCAUCAUUACGUUAGGCAAACACAAUUACAUGAUAACGAGACAAGAUGAUACCUUAGUUCGCGUGGUAGCUCGUACCCUCAUAUACUAGUACCAAUCAUUCGGUUAAACGCCUCAGGAAAUAACCCCUCAAACUUUCUCCUUUACAAUGUAUGAGUUUUGGCAAAAUAACCAAAAUUAACUCUCUCUCUCUCUCUCUCUCUCUCUCUCUCUCUCUAUAUAUANAUAACCCCUAAAACUCUCUCCUUAACAAUGUAUGAGUUUUGGAAAAAUAACCAAAAUUAACUCUAUAUAUAUUUUGAUUCUACCGUGGAACACAUCGUGCUCCGACCCUCGACGUGUCACAUCCAUGUAUGUCACCUAGACCUUGCCACAUAUCUCGUUCCCGCUUCACGCGUCCACCGUCUGGACACGUCGACACGUCGCGCUUAAUAAACAUACGUAUCGCAUUCUUCGUUUCACUUUCAUUGACCUUGACUUUGCACGUCACGCCCUUAACCCUGACGCAUCAUGUUCCUCUCUUACUCCAACAGCAACGAACUUUGGAACAUGUAGUGUGUGUUCCCUUUACACACCAUGUUCAACUAAAGUAGGAUGCCUUUCUUAAUAAUAACAAUCUAUUUUAAUCGUCAUGUCAAAACUAGGUCUGCUUCCCAUGUAGCUAAAUACCUGAAUUUUCGGGUAAUUACAGAAGACAUGGUCAUUAAUAUUGGCGGGAGACAUGGAAUUGUUGGUAGCGGGAUUAUGCCUAGAGUCCCCAUUGGUUGUAUGGGGCUGCGGUUGCUACCUUCUCUAUUUUUCUCUAACAUUCUCUCUAUAUUUGGACCACCGUGACUAUUAGGAGCGGUUCUCGGAUGGAGUCAAUGAUGAAACCAGGUUCAAAAAAUAGAGAACAUAGAAGAUGUGAUAAUGGGAUCAGCUCGGGAGAAUGCUGAAAUCUUUGUGGUAUGAUAAAAAAAGGGAAAUUGGGAUGAUAUUAUGCUCCGAUGCGCAAGUUACGAUUAUGUGCUGUCGUGUUGGGGUUGGUUGUUUUUUUUUUUUUUUUUUUUUUUUUUUUUUUUUUUUUUUUAAGGGGGGGUUGGGGUUCGGCCCUUAUGUAUGUUACACUACUAAUAAUCAAUAACAAAACAACAUGUCGAUAACAAAAAUCAUUGUUUUCGCAUGAUUUACCUACAAAACACGAAUACAUUAAAAGGAAUUUUAAUUAAAACUAAAACAAAUUAAUGUUAAAGUUGGUGCCAUAGAGGAAAAACUUUGCCUCACAGUUGGACUAAACCACCAUAUUUUUUAUAAUUAUUUUAGUUUAAAUUUUAAAAAAUAAAUGAAUUCAUGAAAAACACCGAUCAAGCGACAAUAUUAUAACAAUACAUAAUAGGAUGAAGAAAAUAACAUUGAUGAAAAAGAACAAUGGUGAAAACAUACAAGCAAGCUCAUCCUUUAGUAACUUCAUCGGCAAUUAUGUGGUGUUGAAAUUAUUAGUGCCACUUAACUACGGAUACACUUCUAUGAUAGACCUUAAUCCCAAAAUCGGAGUUAUUUUAUAAUGGCUAAAACAAGCAUCAUAGAAGAGCUUUGACCAAUCUUUUUCACUCCUCUCCCUUCCUGUCGCAUUGACCAUCAUAAGCAUAUCGAAGAAAAGCUGAGUCUCUAACGAUUUCUCACCUGCUUCUUCGUUUUUCAACACCAUAUCUACAAUGAUCACUUUUCCUCCAUAUUCCUUGUUCGGUAUCGCCUCUUUGCAUCGUUUCAAUAUCUUUAUGCAUUCUUCAUCAUUCCAAUCAUGUAGUAUCCACUAUUUUUCAUCAUAGAUAAACAUAAUAUCAUCAAUAUGCUUCAAGAUAAAACUUUAAUCAGUAUAACUUCUGACAUAAAUAUUGUAAUAUAUUUCAAUCAAACACCCAAUGUUAGAAUACAGAAUAGUUAUGAGUCAGAUAGAUUGACAUUAAAUGUCCAAAAGAAAAUGACUCGCUUUAAAAGAAAGAAAAUAAAAGAUACCUUCAAGAAAACCGCAUCAGCUUUAGGAAUUGCUUCAAACAUGUCCCCACAAACGUAACUCAUAUUCUUACUUCCCUCCAAACCAUUGACAACGUGCGGAAGAUCAAAACUAAUGCAACUGAUACUCGGAAAAGCUUUGGCAAUGGCUUUAGCAAUGGUUCCAGUACCACCACCAACAUCAACAACUGAAUUCAACCCUUGAAAAACAUCUGCACAAUGUUUAGUAAUGAAACUUCCUAUAAGCUUUGCAUCACUAGCCAUUGUUUCAUUGACGAAUUGGUUAACUUUCGGCUCCCGGCUUGCUAAAUCCCACAUCGACUUCCCGUGGGUUGUGUGAAAAGGAGUUAUGUCUUUGUUUUUGAACCAUUCACUCAUGUUUUGCCAUGGAUCCAUCAGUAUUGGAUCUAACAUGAACAGCAAAAGGGGCCUAAUGCUAAAUGGUUCUUCCUUCAGAAGGAGUCGAGAAGCAGGAGUUAGCAAAUAGCCUUCUCUUUCCUCCUCUUCAUCAUUGCCUGUAGUUGUGGAUAGACUUUGUUUCAUGAAACAACCAGAGUGGACAAGGAUGCGCAUAAGUCGAUAGACAAAGGUGGUUCUCUCUUUGUUGAUGGGGAGGGCUUCGACUAACUCGGAUAGCAACAUUGGUGCACCAUGACCAUCAAUGAUAUCAGGUAUUUGGAGUUCAAUUGCACAUUUGAGUGACAUGGAAUUCACAAAGCUAAAAAUGUGGUUCCAUAUGUGAGCUUGAGAAUGAAGCAUUUCUUUGGAUUGCUCCCUAUUUUGCAGUGACAUAUCUUUUUGUUAAAGUAAAUGUGAUAAAUAUUUUGGCAUGGUAUCAUUACAGACCGUCGUCUAUAUAUAUAUCGACAGAAAAGUUGUGUGAUGGGAAAGGAUUGACUAUUCACGUGACUCUAUAUGUGCUCCUUUGCUAGUGUACUUAUCUAAAACAUUUUUUAAUAUUAUCAUUUAGAACAAAGUCUGAAAUAUAAAAGAUGAUGAAAGCAUAUUGUCUAAACUUCCACUAAUAUUUACAGGAUUCUUAUAUCUUUCCCAUUUCAGGCAUAAGUCAUGAGGAUUCUCGACCCCACAAAUCUGUCAUAUAACCUGCUUCUUUAAAAUAUUGCUUGAGCAAAUACUAGCAAACACUCCAAUGAGAAUAUAACAAUAAUCAAAAUAAAUAAAUAAAAAAUUAAUUAAUAAAGAGAAAAUGUCAUUGGAGCACAAGCGAAGUUUGUGUUGUUUUCGGAAUUGUUCAUUAAAGUUUUCCUUUUUUAUUAUUUUAUUAUUUUUCUUUUUUGUUGCACAAUAGAUAACUAAAAUUCUAAUUUACCUAUUAAAUAAUGGUUAUACCUACGUGUUUGUAAGUUACUAUUCUGUGUCGCAGUAAUGCUUGAAGUCGCCGCAGUAGACAUGUCGACGCUAUUUUAUUUUUUUGUAUUUAACAUUAAAAUCGUAAAAAACAUUAUAACAUUUAUAAAAGUAGCUAUGAAACUUAAUUUUGUAUAAAAAUAGUUUGAGACAUUCACCACACUUAAUACUAUAUCAAAUCCAGAAUGUUAAUCCAUAAACAUCCUGUCCAUAUUAUUCCUCCAAACAUAAUACAAUAUAUCCAAAAUAUUAACCCAAACAAAACAUUUCAUAAAUCCAUAAAAAAUAGCCACUCGUCCUCAUCAUUCCCUUCAUUUUCAUUUCGUGACAACAAUGAGCAAAACAAGUAUUCUAGUGCCACACUACAGGCCGGGUCUUUUAGCAUUGUUUGCAUCAUUUUCAACUACAAAGAAAACAAAAUAUAUUACCAACAUAUCAUAAUAGCAUUGUACUUUCCAAAGAUUACCAAAAUACGAAAUACUAACAUAUCAAACUAUAACCAACAUAUCGUUAUAGCAUUCUACUUUCCAAAUGAACUUAAACAUACAUCAUACACAAUAUUACGUAUACAUUAUAACAUUGUACUUUUUUUUCAUUUUUCCAUUAUAGCAUUGUACUUUCCAAAAAUUACCAAAAUACAAAAUACCAACAUAUCAGACCAUAGCCAACAUAUCAUUAUAGCAUUCUACUUUCCAACUAUACUUAAACAUACAUAAUACACAAUAUUUCAUAUACAAUAUAUCAUUGUACUUUUUUUUCCAAUAUAGCAUUGUACUUUCCAAAAAAUUACCAAAAUACAAAAUACCAACAUAUCAGGCCAUAACCAACAUAUCGUUAUAGCAUUCUACUUUCCAACUAUACUUAAACAUACAUAAUACACAAUAUUGCAUAUACAUUAUAGCAUUGCACUUUCCAAAAAAUUACCUAAAUACAAAAUACUAACAUAUCAAACCAUAACCAACAUAUCAUUAUAGUAUUCCAUUUUCCAUUUAUAGCAUUGUACUAUAUACUAAACAAACCAUUAGCAACAUAUCAUUAUAACAUCCUACGUUUUUCAUUUUUCCAUUAUAGAACCUGUGGUGGAACGAAAUUAGAAUGGUGGUGGUACUAUAGGGGUGUCUUGGUGGUUUUGGUGGCAAAAAAAUCUGACAGCUUUGGUGGUGGUGAUGACAACCCGCAAUUUGAGGUCAACAAAGCUUAAUACACAAAAUGAAACACCCAAAUCAUUAGAUAUUCACUUAGAUCUAUGGUUUAUAGCUUUGGAUAUUCAAUUGCAUGUUCAUUAGACAAACUAGAUCCAAAUGCUAUUAGGGUUUGCAUGUACACCAUAACAUUGAUGUUUUGCUUAAAACCCAUCAGUAAAACCAUGAGGGGAGCCCAUGGCAUCCUGGAGUAAGACCCUGGGGACGAGCCCACGACAUCCCUAUCUGUUGUAUGCAUGAUUUAUGUGAUAUAUGUAGCUAUUAUAGCUAUUAUGAUAUGUUGUAUGUGGUUUGUGUGUGGUAUGCUCUGAGGAACUCACUGAGCAUUAGCUUACAGUUUGUGGAUUUGUAUCAGGUACAUCUGAGCCCAAGGGAAAGGGCAAGGCUUGAUAACGCGACGUGCACUCUCACUCAGACAUUUUAUGGGACACUCUAAUAUUUUGAAAUAAAGUUGUAUUUGAUAUGAGUUUGAAAACAAUUGUAACUGGUUUUUGUGGAUGGUGAACAUGUAUUUUGGAUAAUUAAUAAUCAAUGUGUCAAAUCCUACUGCAUUAAAACAUCAAAUUUAUCAAAUCUUAUCUCAAU